rnacentral:lncRNA from 1 species
GUGCCUGGGAUCAGAAGCCAGGCUCUGAUUGAGGUCAGAGGUCACCCCGUGGCUGGGAUGGGAACUCAUUCUGUGCCUGGGUCAGGGCUCAGGCUAUGGCUGGGAGCAGAGUUUAGUUUGUAGCUGGGAUCAGGGGUCAGUCUAUGCUUUUGACCAGGGCUCAGCUUAGUCUGGGAUCAAGGGUCAAUUUGGGCUGGUGAUGGGGGCUCAGUCUGUGACCAGGGUGAGGGGUCGACCUAUAGGUGGCCUCAGGGGUUAGUCUGCGGCUGGGGUAAGGACUUGGUGUAUGGCUGGGAUGAGGGUUCAGUGUGUGACUGGGAUCAGAGGCCAGCCUGUAGCUGGGAUUAGGGAUGAGUCCAUAGCUGGAGUAGACACGCAGACUGUGUCUGUCAAGACUUAAUCUGUAGCUCGGAUCAGGGCUCAGACUGUAGCUGAGAUUAAGGAUCAGACCAGGGCAGGGGCUGGAGUUCAACCUGGUCUGGACAGUCUCUGCCCCUGCCCCGGCCGCCCAUUUUUCCCCAGCUGUCCUGGGUCAAGUUGCUGCAGCUGAACUUUGCUUCCUCUUUGGAUCAGAGCGUUCUUGGCCAGCACCCAGCAGCUGAUUCCCCAGGGGAGAGGCCCCGUUCCCGCCAGCCACAUUCCCACGCCGGCCUGGGAGGCUGCCAGAGAGUGGCUGGGUGUCGGGGGCUGCCUCCCAGGGGACCUGCCUCUCACCCUGCCCAGCUCUGAGGACAGCACGAGAUUCCUGCAGAUGGAGCUCCUAACCUGUCGCCCUGCAGGCACUGUGUGUUUGGACAGCUGGAAGCAGAGCUCGGCCUGUGACCUGCCUGGUCCAGCAACUGGACCUUCUGGAGAGUCACAGUGAGACACACAGCCACAUCCUGUAAAUGAAGACCUCGUGGCUCAGAGAGGUCAGGUAACUUCCCCAAAGCCUGUCUGGCCUCCCAGCACCAUCCCUAGUCCCAGAGGGGAGGUGGAAUGAAGGCAGGGCUAAGGCCAGGCUGCAUGGAGGCAGAGGCACCUGCCGGCCUGCAGGACCAAAGGUUCUAUUGGAGGCAGUGCCUGGGCAGACAAAGGCCCUCAGAUUCACAAGCUGAAGCCCUAGCACCCAGGGCCCCAGUGUGCUACUGUGUUUGGAGACAGGUAAAGGUUGUCAAGGUAAGACAGGGUGGCCCUGAUCCAAUAUGACUGGCGUCCUUGUAAGAAGAGGAGAUUGGGACAGACACGCCCCGAGGGAUGGCCAUGUGAGGGCGCCUCAGGAAGACGGUGUGCAAGAGCGGGAAGCGGGGCCUCGGAAGAGCCAGCCCUUGGAUCUCGGGCUUCCAGGAGAAUCAGUUCCUGCAGUUGAAGCCACCAGGGUCUGUGCAACUUUGUCACAGCUGCCCGAGCUGACAAAUUCACCUGACUUAAGCCCCCCGCCCCACCCGACCACAGUGUCACCCAGAUGCUUGGCAGGUGCUGUGGCAGGGGCUGGGUCCCUGCUCGACCUUCGGGUGCCGGGGUGUCCCGUAUAAGAGCAGCACAGCCACCGCCACGGCCACUCGCAGUUCCAGGCUCCGGGCAGCAUCUGGGACCCCAGUUCCUGUUGUGAGAGGCUCCCCACUGCCAUCCCACCCCCUGCAAGGUGCCUCGGAGAGCGGCUGGAGGCUGACGGGUCGAGGCCUGGGUUUUACGGUCCUGCCUGGGUUUCUGUGUGGCCUGGGGCUGCCUACCAUCUUUCCCUCUCUGGUCCCCCCUACUCUCAUAUACCAGGCUGGGUGACUGGGGCCCAGGAGCGGCCCCCCCCUCCUCUGGGCUUCCUGGUGGCACCCCUGGCCUGACAGCCCCUGGGAAGGCCUCCCCUCUCCAUCUCGGGGCCCAGCCCGGCCCCACCUGCUGAGCUGCAGCCUCCAAGGCCUCCUUCGCACGCGUGUCAGCUCUGACCUCAGGGCUCCCCACGCGUGUUCCCCUCUAGGAAGGCCCCCCCAGGGGCUCCCCAAAAUCCUGUCCUCCCUGAAGCACCUGUUCUUCGUGCUCCUCCAUGAGGGCCCGCACGGGGCCGCUGACCGCAGUCUCAGUCACAGCCUGGGAGCGCCUGGAGGUUGGGGGGCAGCAGGCGCUCAGUCAGUCCUCGGGUCACCAUGGAUGGCCUUGCUGUGUGAUCCACACUGAGGCCCAGUGGUCAGCUGGGGGGCUGGACAGGAGGCAGCCACUUCCUGGCCUGGCUGGUGACUCACAGGCCCGUUUCUGGGAAAACUCCCACCCACCCCCACUCAAUCCGGAUGGCGCAGAGCUCGCUGUGGGGACCAGCUGUGGGAAGUGCAUUUAAGCCAGAGAAAAGAAAAUGCCAUUCGGAAAAUCCUAAGGAAGAGAGGAUGCAUUUCCUCGUCUCCACGUGGAAGCGGAUCACCCUAAAGGUCUUCAUCCUGGUCUUUUUCAUGCUGAGGAGGCUGGGGAGGAGAAGGAAGAGGAGGGGCUGGUCUUGCUGACCCAGGAGCAGCAGAGAAAGGAGAAAAUCCACGUGCAGGGGCUGGCCAGCGCUGGGCUUCUCGGGAAUGGAAUCACACACGGACUGUGGCGUACACAUCACAACUUUAAACCCCGUCCGUACUGAAGCCUGCGUCCGAAUUUCUUCUGUUUUUGUGGCGGAAGGAUAAAUAUUCCAUUGUACAGACGGUCUACCCGGUUCAUCCGUCACCCACCCAUGGGCACCCGGGCCGUUUCCACCCUUAGUGAAGGAAGCCGCACGGGUGUUUGUGCGGACAGGAGCUUCCGUUUAUCUUGGGCGCACACCUAGGGGUGGAGUUGCUGGGUCUCGUGGUGACUGGUUGUUUCGGGAGCUGCCGGCAGGUGACCCAGCAGCUGGGCCGGUCCACAUUCCGUCCAGCAGCGUGCGAGUCUCUGAUCUUGGCGCCCACACCCCUGGCUGGCUCUCUCCUCCCUCCGACUUCGCAGCCACACCGGAGGCAGGUGGCAAUGAACUCAAGGUGUGCGGUCCCUCCCUCGGCGCCCAAGCCCCACACUGGGCCUGCCCUGGGCAUGAGUUGGCCAUUGGACCUGAGGCUGGAGAACCUGCCUGGGACAGAACAAAAUUCAAGUGUGAAGUUCUGGAAGGUUCUGGAGGGUUCCAGAGGCCUCCUGGAGCUCCCUGGGUCCCCUGGACUCCACAUGAGUGGCCACCCAGCCUGUGGUCUACGGCUGCCUAGGUUCACCCCCUUGGUCCCCCAGACACACACAGGGCAGCCCUUGUGUUCCUGGGGCCGCUGGUCCUGCAGCGUGAGCUGCCACCUGUAGGGAUCCCUCCCUGCCUGCCCACACCUGCCCCCCACGGCCGCCCCCCCUGCCUGGCCGCACCUGCCCCCCACGGCCG